AGAGGGAUAGCUGGGUCAAAUGGUGGUUCCAUUCCCAAUUUUCUGAGAAAUCUCCAUACUGCUUUCCAUAUUGGCUGCACCAAUUUGCAGUCCCACCAGCAGUGUAUGAGUGUGCCUUUUCCCCCCACAUCCUCGCCAACACUUAUUGUUGUUUGUCUUCAUAAUAGCUGCCAUUCUGACUGGAGUGAGAUGAAAUCUUAGAGUAGUUUUGAU
rnacentral:lncRNA from 1 species